ACCCUCAAGAACCCGCAACUUCAUUUCGCAUCUGCUUGCCUCGCGGAAGCCGGCGGCCGCCGUCGCGGUCCCCACCCCCACUGCAAUCAACGUCUCCGUCCAGUCGCCCAUCAUCCGCUCCUCACGCCGCCCACUGCGAAGUCACUCGAGCCGAGGGCCCGACCCCAACGCCCUUACGUCGUGCUGCCACCGCUGCAGCGCCGCCGUGGAGAUGCCAGGGAGCACAGCAGGAUGUCAACGCUUAGGCCGCCGUCGUCUCCGCUCAACUCCACCAACUAGCAUCACUGCCUCCCUGCGGGCUACGCCGGCACGUCCUGCCGUGUUACGAAGUAGCAGCCAACCCUGCGCCCUGUUCUUAAGUCUGCAUCACAGCAAUCAGAGGUGAAGUUGUCUUUAUUCAUGGUAACUGCACUAUCAUUGGAGGCUGCCCAAGGAGAGCUGGUUUCUCACAAAGUAGGACUGUAUUGUUCCUAAAAUUUGAUGAAAUGGCUUGAAGCUACAGAAUUCCUUCACACUACAUACAUGCAGUUCUGAUGAAAACUUUUGUUUUUGAACUUUUCCAGAUGUGAAGAAACAAGAUGCUUGGAUGGAUAAAAUUUUUUUAGUUCUUUUCUUAGUAGCACCAUGAUAAUUUAAUCUAUCCUUAUUUGAUUAUCCUUGAUGUAAUCUAUCCUAGUUUGGUUAUCUAUAGUGCCUUCUUGCUUACUGGGAGCUCUUUAGCAAAUAGUACUCUGAAUAGCAACCAAGAAUAAACAGGUGGUAGAAGCUAAUGGUUCUUGUUAAUUCUUGAUGAUGUAAUGUAAUCCUAAUCUGAUUGAUGAUAGAAUGACACAGUUCUAAUUAUUAAUACUCGUUUUUGAAUUUUGAUUUCA